rnacentral:rRNA from 1 species
AUGGGUUUUGUGAAACUAAAUGUUGAUGCUUCCUUUGAUCACGAUCUGCUUAGGGGCACGACAGGGGCUGUCCUUAGAGAUGACAAAGGAAGGUUCAUUGUUGGCGGAAAUUGGAGGAUUGAUUGGUGUGCCGAUGUAUUAACAACAGAAGAACUAGCUCUAAGUUUUGGCUUAAUCCUUGCACAGAAGGCGGGUUGCAAUCGCCUUAUUGUCAACUAUGCUAUUAUGAAAGUGAUUGACACAAUGAAACAAUCGGCGGAAGCGGCAGAGGCAGUGUUCGACAACUGCUAUUUUAUGGCAUGUGAUUAUUCUGUUAGUAGGUUUGAACAUUGUAAUUUGGAAGCAAAUAAGGUUUCUCAUGAACUUGCUAGCCUAGUGAAAUUUUCUGAGACUAGGGAUUGGUGUGAAGAGCCUAUGGAUGAUAUUGUAUCUUUUCUUAUUAACGAUGGUACUCUUAUAUCUAAUUAA